rnacentral:tRNA from 1 species
AUUACUUUGGCAGAAUAGUGUAAUAAAUUUAGAAUUUAUGAAUGUAAUUUAUAUUACAAGUAAUA